CCUACGGGGGGCUGCAGUGGGGAAUAUUGGACAAUGGGGGGAACCCUGAUCCAGCCAUGCCGCGUGUGUGAAGAAGGCCCUCGGGUUGUAAAGCACUUUCAGUGAGGAAGAACGCCUGGUGGUUAAUACCCAUCAGGAAAGACAUCACUCACAGAAGAAGCACCGGCUAACUCCGUGCCAGCAGCCGCGGUAAUACGGAGGGUGCGAGCCUUAAUCGGAAUUACUGGGCGUAAAGCGCGCGUAGGUGGCUUGAUAAGCCGGUUGUGAAAGCCCCGGGCUCAACCUGGGAACGGCAUCCGGAACUGUCAAGCUAGAGUGCAGGAGAGGAAGGUAGAAUUCCCGGUGUAGCGGUGAAAUGCGUAGAGAUCGGGAGGAAUACCAGUGGCGAAGGCGGCCUUCUGGACUGACACUGACACUGAGGUGCGAAAGCGUGGGUAGCAAACAGGAUUAGAUACCCGGGUAGUC
rnacentral:rRNA from 1 species